rnacentral:rRNA from 1 species
CAGUCGCGCGGUAAUACGAAGGGUGCAAGCGUUAAUCGGAAUUACUGGGCGUAAAGGGCGCGUAGGCGGUUAGGAAGGUGUGAUGUGAAAGCCCUGGGCUUAACCUAGGAAGUGCAUCGCAAACCAACUAGCUGGAGUAUAAGAGAGGGUGGCGGAAUUUCCGGUGUAGCGGUGAAAUGCGUAGAGAUCGGAAGGAACGUCAAUGGCGAAGGCAGCCACCUGGCUUAAUACUGACGCUGAGGCGCGAAAGCGUGGGGAGCGAACAGGAUUAGAUACCCCGGUAGUCCCUGUCUCUUAUACA